rnacentral:rRNA from 1 species
UGCCAGCAGCCGCGGUAAUACGGAGGGUGCAAGCGUUGUUCGGAAUUAUUGGGCGUAAAGCGCGUGUAGGCGGUUCGUUAAGUCUGAUGUGAAAGCCCGGGGCUCAACCCCGGAACUGCUCUCAAAACUGUCAAGCUAGAGAAUGGUAGGGGAAAGUGGAAUUCCUAGUGUAGGGGUGAAAUCCGUAGAUAUUAGGAGGAACACCAGUGGCGAAGGCGACUUUCUGGACCAUUUCUGACGCUAAGGCGCGAAAGCGUGGGGAGCAAACAGGAUUAGAUA